rnacentral:rRNA from 1 species
AGAGUUUGAUCCUGGCUCAGGACGAACGCUGGCGGCGCGCCUAACACAUGCAAGUCGAACGAGCGAGAGAGAGCUUGCUUUCUCGAGCGAGUGGCGAACGGGUGAGUAACGCGUGAGGAACCUGCCUCAAAGAGGGGGACAACAGUUGGAAACGACUGCUAAUACCGCAUAAGCCCACGGGUCGGCAUCGACCAGAGGGAAAAGGAGCAAUCCGCUUUGAGAUGGCCUCGCGUCCGAUUAGCUAGUUGGUGAGGUAACGGCCCACCAAGGCGACGAUCGGUAGCCGGACUGAGAGGUUGAACGGCCACAUUGGGACUGAGACACGGCCCAGACUCCUACGGGAGGCAGCAGUGGGGAAUAUUGCACAAUGGGGGAAACCCUGAUGCAGCGACGCCGCGUGGAGGAAGAAGGUCUUCGGAUUGUAAACUCCUGUUGUUGAGGAAGAUAAUGACGGUACUCAACAAGGAAGUGACGGCUAACUACGUGCCAGCAGCCGCGGUAAAACGUAGGUCACAAGCGUUGUCCGGAAUUACUGGGUGUAAAGGGAGCGCAGGCGGGAAGACAAGUUGGAAGUGAAAUCCAUGGGCUCAACCCAUGAACUGCUUUCAAAACUGUUUUUCUUGAGUAGUGCAGAGGUAGGCGGAAUUCCCGGUGUAGCGGUGGAAUGCGUAGAUAUCGGGAGGAACACCAGUGGCGAAGGCGGCCUACUGGGCACCAACUGACGCUGAGGCUCGAAAGUGUGGGUAGCAAACAGGAUUAGAUACCCUGGUAGUCCACACC